GUGAAUCAUCGAAUCUUUGAACGCAAAUUGCGCCUUUUUCGGAAGGCAUGUCUGUUUGAGGGCACCAUUUAACAAAUAAUGUGCAGCGGUUUUUGUUGCACACGUCGAUGAGCUUUCCAAGAAUUUUAAAUUUUUGGUGGCGCAUAAUGAACAGCGUGAAGCUUUUUUUUUAGGUUGGGGUUUAUAAAGAUUUUUCUUGGGGUUGUGAAAGC
rnacentral:misc_RNA from 1 species